rnacentral:ribozyme from 13 species
AAACAAAACAAAAAAAAAGGUUUUGGAAAAUGGGGCCACGGAUUGUCUUCUCCUUCUUUCUCUUGUUCUUUUUCUUUCUCUUUGGUUUU